rfam:Myotis davidii contig10267, whole genome shotgun sequence.
CGUGCACUGGUGGGGUCCCUCGGCCUGGCCUGCGGGGAUCACCGAAACCGGCUUUCUGACAUCGCCCAAGGGGUCCAGGAUUGCUAAAGGGUGCAGGCCAGGCCAAGGGACCCCACCGGUGCAUG